rnacentral:rRNA from 1 species
UACGGAAGGCAGCAGUGGGGAAUAUUGCACAAUGGGCGCAAGCCUGAUGCAGCCAUGCCGCGUGUAUGAAGAAGGCCUUCGGGUUGUAAAGUACUUUCAGUCGUGAGGAAGGUGUUAAGGUUAAUAACCUUAGCAAUUGACGUUAGCGACAGAAGAAGCACCGGCUAACUCCGUGCCAGCAGCCGCGGUAAUACGGAGGGUGCGAGCGUUAAUCGGAAUUACUGGGCGUAAAGGGCACGCAGGCGGUUAAUUAAGUUGGAUGUGAAAUCCCCGGGCUUAACCUGGGAAUGGCAUUCAAGACUGGUUAGCUAGAGUCUUGUAGAGGGGGUAGAAUUCCAUGUGUAGCGGUGAAAUGCGUAGAGAUGUGGAGGAAUACCGGUGGCGAAGGCGGCCCCUGGGACAAAGGCUGACGCUCAUGUGCGAAAGCGUGGGGAGCAAACAGGGAUUAGAUA